UUGUGCAGCUGUAUCACUUCAAGCUUUGCUCUUGUCAGAUUUUAUAAGCUAAGCAGGGUCAUCAUGGUUCAUUACUUGGAUGGACAACCUCUAGGGAAAAUCCAGGUGCUACAAGUG
rnacentral:rRNA from 1 species